rnacentral:rRNA from 1 species
GACGAACGCUGGCGGCGUGCCUAAUACAUGCAAGUCGAACGCAGUGGGGACGGGUGAGUAACACGUGGGUAACCUCCCAUAUGAGGGGAUAAAACUUGGAAACAGGUGCUAAACCGAUACUGAUGGAUGGACCCGCGGUGCAUUAGCUAGUUGGUGAGGUAACGGCUCACCAAGGACACGAUGCAUAGCCGACCUGAGAGGGUGAUCGGCCACACUGGGACUGAGACACGGCCCAGACUCCUACGGGAGGCAGCAGUAGGGAAUCUUCGGCAAUGGACGAAAGUCUGACCCAGCCACGCCGCGUGAGUGAAGAAGGUCGUCGGAUUGUAAAGCUCUGUUGUUAGAGAAGCGGUAUCUAACCAGUAAGCCACGGCUAACUACGUGCCAGCCGCCGCGGUAAUAC